rnacentral:lncRNA from 1 species
ACUCAUGCUUCUGAUCAUCACAAAUAGAUCAUUGUGGAGCAAAAUCUAACUUUUCCUGAAAAGCUUAGAAUGCAAUAUGUCCCGGGCUAUAGCUCUCUACCUUCUGGCAUCCUGGAACCUGCACUCAAAGAUCAUCUCCUCCAUGAACACUCCCUUCAUCAGUGACCAACCCUCAAGUCCAAGGCAUGGUGAAGCAGAAGGCAAACAGGCACAUCAAGCGUCAAGGGGUGGAGGGGUACCACUCUCUCACAGCGGGGAGAAGUGAAGAGUUGACAAGAACCAUACACAAGUGCUGCCAGACUCAUCUCACAGAGAUUUUAACAUGGCUGUGUUUGCCAGGCUAGUCUCUUGUUUCAGUUGUAACAAACAAAAGCCGCUCAAACGGGCUUGAUUUUGAAAAAGAAACUGCCUGGCUCUGGCCAUGGCUGGUUGUGGGGUUGCAUGAACUGUACGAAUUCACUCUGUUCCUUGGCUCUGUGUUUCUUUGUGUAAUGCUGUCUUCAGAUGGGUUCUCUCCAUGAUAUGGCCUGCUGGGACUCCAGUCUUACUGUCUUCUGAAGAAAGUCUCCCAGAUUUCAGCCCAGAUUCCUGAAUUAGCUCUCACUGGAUCACCCAGAGGGACUUGACUUGAUUUGAAGUAUGGAGUCACCGUGGAUAGGGAAUAGAGGGUGAGGACUGGCCGUUGAUGGAUUAUGGACUCCUAGGGCCUGGGAGUGAAGGUGAUGGCAUCCCACUCCAAUACUCUUGCCUGGAAAAUCCCAUGGAUAGAAAAGCCUGGUAGGCUACAGUCCA